ensembl:lncRNA
UUCCAGAGAUCAUCAGUGACAGAAAGGGAUGAAGUGACUCUGCCCUGUUACAUGAACAAGAACAUUGAGUUUGAGUGGAAGAAAGAUGGAAAGAAGGACGUUUACCUGUAUGAACUUGGACCGUUAUCAGGUCAAGAUGAUCAGUUCAAAGGUCGUGUCUCAUUUUGAUCAUGACCUGAAGAACGGUGACGCCUCCAUAACCAUCAGAGAUACUAAAGUGUCUGACAGUGGAUUCUACACCUGUAAUUUACCAAAUCUUCAUCAAACCUUCACCGUUCAUCUUGUUGUUGGUGAGUAGUUUGUAACUUGCUUCAUUUCUGUCUUUUUCUCUGUGAUGCAGGAUUUAAGUGAUGAACUAGAACCAUGAUUUCUUCUUUGGUUUUUAAUGAGCUGCUCACUGAGCUCAUCGUCAUCACUAGUUGCUCCGUGUUGAGACAUUGGUGACGUCACUGGUGAUAAAGUUGAACCUUUUUCUGCCUCUGAUCCUGUUAAACACUACAACUGUUCUUGUGUCCUUAGAAUGAAGUGACUAAAAACUGACUUUGUCGUUGUCUGUUAGGGAGGAUUCAUAGAGACUAGAGUCUAAAUGUUUUGUGCAGCAACAUAAUCUGAGUAUCAUUAAUCAGAAUCAAAGUGAACCUUUAAAUUGUAUCUAUUUUUGAUCAAUUUAACUCUCGAACAGAGACCAUUGAGCAUUUAGUGACAUCAGGGAGUCAGCGACUCAACGUCAGCCAUGUUGGACUCAGAGCACUGACACCUGUCAAUCAUGUGCAGCGUUAAAUGUUUCCCCCUGAACAGGAAGUGAGCACAGAGAAAGUAGUUCCUCCCUCACUCUCCCUCUGUGUUUGUCACCACAUCUACGUUUCCUGAACCUCAUGUUCAGAAACAAAGUCAUUGUUAAUGUUGGAAUAGUUUCAAUGAAUGACAGUGAUGUUAAAGCAGUUGAUGUUGAGCUGCUGCACAAAUGAUGGACAGUGUAAAUGACCACAAAGGUAAUGUCAGUUACUCGUUGUGGGCGUGGCUCAAUUGAAGCAGACUCACCCCAGACCAUGUGUGCCGAGCACGGAGAUUUACGGCAGACUCUGCCUUCAGGUUUCUUCAAGUUGAAUUUUUCACGGUGCUUGAAGGAUGCUCAAGUGUUGCUGGACAAACUUCUGUGGAUGACACCAGCAAGUAAACUCACCGCACCCGUUAGAGACUCUCCUGUGAAUUUUUUUGAUACCAAGGGCAGCUACAGUGAAAACUCGUCGCUACAUCUGAGCUAUCCACCUGUCUUCUACGAGCAGCUUCAUCUGCCACGGAAGCAAGAUUCUACAACAUGCUGCGUGGAUGCUACAGCUGCAGUGAGAAACUUUGGCACACUUGUGUAUAAAGCAACGCAGAAAAACACAAGAUAAGAACAUUUACACCUGCUCAUCUAAUUCAGUAAGGCAAUCCAAAGUAAGUUAUACGAGUAAUGAGUAUCAGGAUUAAAGCCUAAAUAAUUUGAGUCUUGCAAAGUAAUAGUGUAUCUUAGAUCAGCAACAUCCUAUUAGAUCCAAAGGUCUGAGGCCCAAACGUCUGUUAUCUUUAUUUGAGUUUACACUGUGUGAUUGCUAAUCUUGGGUGUCCAUUAAGUGUAAAUGUCUGAUGUGAGUUGUGACAUAGUGUUAACAAUAAGUUAAAACCAUCUCUCAACUACUUUGAGUCCAGACAUAAAACACUCAAGUUUUAUAAUUAACGUCGC